rnacentral:rRNA from 1 species
UACGGGGGGGGCAAGCGUUGUUCGGAAUUACUGGGCGUAAAGGGCUCGUAGGUGGCCAACUAAGUCAGACGUGAAAUCCCUCGGCUCAACCGGGGAACUGCGUCUGAUACUGGAUGGCUUGAAUUCGGGAGAGGGAUGCGGAAUUCCAGGUGUAGCGGUGAAAUGCGCAGAUAUCAGGAGGAACACCCGUGGCGAAAGCGGCUCUCUGGGACGGUACUGACGCUGAGACGCGAAAGCGUGGGGAGCAAACAGG